AUUGAACGCUGGCGGCAUGCCUUACACAUGCAAGUCGAACGGCAGCACGGGAGCAAUCCUGGUGGCGAGUGGCGAACGGGUGAGUAAAGUAUCGGAACGUGCCCAGUCGUGGGGGAUAACGUAGCGAAAGUUACGCUACUACCGCAUAAGAGCUAGGGAUGAAAGGGGGGGAUCGGAAGACAUCGCUCGAGUGGACGGGCCGAUAUCAGAUUAGGUACUUGGUGGGGUAGAGGCUCACCAAGCAGACGAUGUGUAGCUGGUCUGAGAGGACGACCAGCCACACUGGGACUGAGACACGGCCCAGACUCCUACGGGAGGCAGCAGUGGGGAAUUUUGGACAAUGGGCGCAAGCCUGAUCCGGCCAUGCCGCGUGCAGGAUGAAGGCCUUCGGGUUGUAAACUGCUUUUGUACGGAACGAAAAGGUUUGACUUAAUACGUUGGACUCAUGACGGUACCGUAAGAAUAAGCACCGGCUAACUACGUGCCAGCCGCCGCAGUAA
rnacentral:rRNA from 1 species